AAAAUAUUACAUUCAUUAUCUACAUUAAGAUAGCAAUUUAUGUUCAUAAAUGAUUCAUUUAUUCACAGACUAAAUGAAGCUCGGUUUUAAUGAGGCUUACAAAUAAUAUUAAACUUUCUAAAUUCAAGUGUGCAUUGUCCUCUUCAUCACCUCUUCUAAGAGGUUGUGUGCCCGUCAGAAACAUUAUUUAAUCUAUGUAUGAUGAGUAGCGACAUAGAGACAUCACCUUACAGAUUAACUCCAUUGAGGAUUAUUUAGUAAAGCAGGAUUUUUAGAGAAUAAACGAUGCACAUAUAGGUUCAAAAUAGACAGAAUUUAAAAUUGUCCUUAUGGCUUUGAGCGCUUAUACAAAGCCGGUGUGAGGCUUAGAAAUGCAUUGUGGGAAUUGCUAACCAUGUGCCCUGCCUCGCAAUGCUUCCUUGAAUCUAAAUGAAAAAUUGAGCAUUCUAGCAUUACAAAUAAAUGUAAAUAUAUGUAUUUAUAACAUUGGAAGUGUUCCGUUAAAUUAAACUAUUUAUUCUAAAUUGUUGAGUUGGAGACAGGGACAAAUUGAUUGGAUAUUAUUCCCAAAGCGCAAUUUUAGUUUCUGUCCCAUUUACAGUUAGUGGGCUUUUUGGGAAGUAUUUUGAACUUUGCACCAAGUCUAUAGCUAAUGGCCAGGGGAGCCCCAGAACAGCAGUCCAUGAUCAAAUACUUGUGAGCCACGUCUGCCUCAGGCUGGAGAAUUUUUCAAAACAAAUUAUUUUAGUCUAAAAUGUGCAAGUCCUUUGUCAAUUCUUCACAGUAUCUGGUUACGCGUAUAAACUGCAGUGUAUUAUUUGGGUGACUUUCUCCCAAUGUGGCAAAUGGGAUAAGUGUGGCAAUUUAAAGGGUCACUCCAGACUCCUAAAGCACUUGAUCUUGCUGAGAAGCUUUCUGGGUGAAGGGUGUGUUGUCUUCUUUUUUUUUUCAUUUUGCAAAAAGUGCAGAUUUCAAUAGAAAUUGACACUUUUAUAAAUUAAAGACCAAGAAAAGAGUUACUCGUGCACUAUUCCAAGUCCCUAUGCAUAUAUAAAUAAAUAGAGGUUUUUAGUUCCAAUCCAAUGGCCAUUAGAUGUAAGCCCACCUGCUACGUCAAAGCAAACCUCUUAGAUGGGUCCUACACCAACAAUUCAUCUGGUUUGCUUCAGCCUCAGGCAAUAAAAAAUGUCUAAUGAGACAGAGAAGGUAUUUUUUAAAACCCCUACAUGCUUAUUAACCCUUAAUAGGGAAAACAUGGAAUGGGAGGCAGCAUUGUAACAUGUCUGUGUGAUAUAAAAGGUAACUACAAAUACAUAAAAAUAAGUCCUGCACUCAGACUCCCACUAUGUAUUAUGGUCAUUGCUGCCGCCCAGGAGUAGUCUAAUUAGAGAUGUAUUAUUACCUGAAGCUUAAGAAAGCAAGGUUAAUUGCUAGUGUAGGACCUACCUAAGAGGUUUGCCUUGACGUGGCAGGUAGGCUUACUCCUAAUGGCCAUUGGAGUGGUACUAAAAAAACUCAAUUUAUUUACAUAUGCAUAGGGAUUUGGAAGAGUGCGCAAGUAACUUUUUUUUCUUUGGUUUUUAUUACAUGUUCUGGGGCUGAUGUGUACUAUGGUCAUUGCUGCCGCCCAGGAGUAGUGGGAGUCUGAGCGCAGGACUUAAUUUUGUGUAUUUGUAUUUACUUUUUAUAAAUUAACCUUGUUACUCUCCCUUGGCUUUCAAUCAGACAACAGGCCCGCUUACGUCCUGGUUUUGUUAGUUCAGUGGAGCUAAACUCAAGAG